AUCCCUACGGGGGGCAGCAGUGAGGAAUAUUGGUCAAUGGUCGGGAGACUGAACCAGCCAAGCCGCGUGAGGGAUGAAGGUACAGAGUAUCGUAAACCUCUUUUGUCAGGGAACAAAGGCGGGGACGUGUCCCCGGAUGAGUGUACCUGAAGAAAAAGCAUCGGCUAACUCCGUGCCAGCAGCCGCGUUAAUACGGAGGAUGCGAGCGUUAUCCGGAUUUAUUGGGUGUAAAGGGUGCGCAGGCGGCUCUGCAAGUCAGGCGUGAAAGCUAGGGGCUCAACCCCUAAACUGCGCUUGAAACUGUG
rnacentral:rRNA from 1 species